UACGUAGGGGGCAAGCGUUGUCCGGAUUUAUUGGGCGUAAAGAGCGUGUAGGCGGUCUGGUAGGUCCGUUGUGAAAACUCGAGGCUCAACCUCGAGACGCCGAUGGAAACCCUCAGACUAGAGUCCGGAAGAGGAGAGUGGAAUUCCUGGUGUAGCGGUGAAAUGCGCAGAUAUCGGGAGGAACACCAGAGGCGAAGGCGGGCUACUGGGCCGAUACUGACGCUGAUGCGCGAAAGCCAGGGGAGCAAACGGG
rnacentral:rRNA from 1 species